ACCGUUUUAGAAACAUCAGUGGCCAACGAUCGUCAGGAUUGUUGAGCUGCAUUGGCGGGAUUUCGCCGUCUUCGUUUCUCUUUCUUCGCGGACGAACACGCGCUGGGGCUGCAAGCUUGCAGAAUCCCUGGUCCUUGACUGGAUAUGCGUUAGGGGCUUGUAGCUCAGUUGGUUAGAGCGCGCGCUUGAUAAGCGUGAGGUCGGAAGUUCAAGUCUUCCCAGGCCCACCACACUCAUCGAGUGAGCAUUCGUCUUCUGGUUACGGGGCCAUAGCUCAGCUGGGAGAGCGCGUGCUUUGCAAGCAUGAGGUCGUCGGUUCGAUCCCGUCUGGCUCCACCAGAUGGUUUGAUCAUCGACUGAUCGUGCACCUAAAUCGUCCGCGAAACAUCACUUCGCACUUACUAGUCCGGAUGGACAGUAAGCUGCGUGAUUUCUGACAUCGUAAAGAGGAGAUCGAUCCGAGUUGGAUCGGGCAACAAGCAAUUGUUGCGCGAUACUUCAUUAUCUCCGGAUCAUUUCGGCGCUCGUGCGCCUUUCAAUGUAGCUCACAAGGCUGCGUCUGAGAGGAAUGCGAGUUGUAAAUGAUCCUUUUAGCGAAGCUUGACCGCCUCGCUAUCGGAACGAUCUUACGAAGCAAGCUGGUCUUUCUAAUCAUUGUCCGGCUGCAGAUAGCGUUCAUCGAGGGCGCGUGCCGCAAGGUAAUUCUGCAGACAACAUUCUGCCGAGUGUGUGGACAUUGAUAAUGAGAGCAAUCAAGUGCCUUAAGGGUGUUCGGUGAUGCCUG
rnacentral:tRNA from 1 species